rnacentral:rRNA from 1 species
CCUACGGGAGGCAGCAGUGAGGAAUAUUGGACAAUGGGCGCAAGCCUGAUCCAGCCAUGCCGCGUGCAGGAAGAAGCAUCUAUGGUGUGUAAACUGCUUUUGUACAGGAAGAAACACUCCCUCGUGAGGGAGCUUGACGGUACUGUAAGAAUAAGGACCGGCUAACUCCGUGCCAGCAGCCGCGGUAAUACGGAGGGUCCGAGCGUUAUCCGGAAUCAUUGGGUUUAAAGGGUCCGUAGGCGGUUUAAUAAGUCAGUGGUGAAAUCUGGUCGCUCAACGAUCAAACGGCCAUUGAUACUGUUAGACUUGAAUUAUAAGGAAGUAACUAGAAUAUGUAGUGUAGCGGUGAAAUGCUUAGAUAUUACAUGGAAUACCAAUUGCGAAGGCAGGUUACUACUUAUGGAUUGACGCUGAUGGACGAAAGCGUGGGGAGCGAACAGGAUUAGAUACCCUGGUAGUCCACGCCGUAAACGAUGGAUACUAGCUGUUCGGAGCAAUCUGAGUGGCUAAGCGAAAGUGAUAAGUAUCCCACCUGGGGAGUACGUUCGCAAGAUGAAACUUAAGGAAUUGACGG